UACGGAGGGUGCAAGCGUUGUCCGGAAUUAUUGGGCGUAAAGAGCUCGUAGGCGGUCUGUUGCGUCGGCUGUGAAAACCCGGGGCUCAACCCCGGGCCUGCAGCCGAUACGGGCAGACUAGAGUUCGGCAGGGGAGACUGGAAUUCCUGGUGUAGCGGUGAAAUGCGCAGAUAUCAGGAGGAACACCGGUGGCGAAGGCGGGUCUCUGGGCAACAACUGACGCUGAGGAGCGAAAGCGUGGGGAGCGAACAGG
rnacentral:rRNA from 1 species